AGGUGACGUACAGUCAGUGUUUGUCUGCCAGCAGAUUUCAUCAAGACAGACGCAAAGAUAACGACUUGCAAUGAUGCUUCUCUUCGUUUGUCUCUUGUGCCUCCCACUGUCGGUUCUCGGUGAUGACAGAGACGCCCACCUGUAUAGAGUCGACAUCUAUAUGCCUCCCGAGAAGGGGAGGUACGAGACGGCGGCGAUACGUAAGAUUAAUGACAAACUGAACGAUCUUACUGACAUCAAGGUUCUCUUUUCAUUUAAGGAGCUCGGAAAUCCAAGAAUACUUCUUG